UAAAUACAUAGUCUGUUAAAGAAGUUGAUAAUGUCACAUUCAUGUCAGGGAUUUCACAAGCCUUUAUUAGUGAAGAAAUAAUAGUAUUUGGCAUCUUCUUCUUAUCAAUAAAAUUAUUUUUUUCUACCUUGACUUGUAUCAAUAAUAAUCAAGUAUAUCUAUUUUUAGCAUAUAUAUGUACCAAUCAAUCUUUUUUCUUACCAUCCUACUCUACUCAGACUUCAAAAUUAAUUUCAUAAAGCCAUGGUAUCCUUUGAUGGCUGCAUUGGUGUCUUAUCCAACAUAUUGCAAAUUAUGGUAACUAAUUGUCCAUAUGUGCACUUUGUUUAAUUAUUUUUGCUCCAUGUACUUCCAAAAAUUUAA
rnacentral:lncRNA from 1 species